rnacentral:lncRNA from 1 species
CUCCAGGCGUCGACGGAGAGGUGCCACUGGACGGCGGAGGGGUUGCGCUACACCCUCCAUCACUACCUCCAGGUGUCGAUGGAGAGGUGUCACUGGACGGCGAAGGGGGAGCACUAUACCCUCCACCAUCACCGCCAGGCGGCGACGUCGGGGAGGUGUCAGAGGACGGCGAGGGAGGUCCGUAGUACCCACCACCACCUCCGGGCGUUGAUGGAGAGCUGCCACUAGACGGCGAAGGGGGAGCACUACACCCUCCAGUACCACCACCGCCGGGCGUGGUCGGGGAGGUGUCAGAGGACGGCGAGGGAGGCCCAUAGUACCCACCACCACCUCCAGGUGUCGGUGGAGAAGUAUCACUGGACGGCGAAGGGGGGACACUACAGCCACCACCACCUCCGGGCGUCGAUGGGGAGGUAUCACUGGACGGCGAAGGAGGAGCACUGUAUCCGCC